UACGUAGGGCUCAAGCGUUGUCCGGAAUUAUUGGGCGUAAAGAGCUCGUAGGCGGCUUGUCACGUCGGGUGUGAAAGCCCGGGGCUUAACCCCGGGUCUGCAUUCGAUACGGGCAGGCUAGAGUGUGGUAGGGGAGAUCGGAAUUCCUGGUGUAGCGGUGAAAUGCGCAGAUAUCAGGAGGAACACCGGUGGCGAAGGCGGGUCUCUGGGCCGUAACUGACGCUGAGGAGCGAAAGCAUGGGGAGCGAACAGG
rnacentral:rRNA from 1 species